AUGAUUAUGUCUGGAUCUCCGGGGGCAGACACUAUCAUACUGAAUCUCAGCCGGACCACGACUGUCAACAGGGUCACCGUAUUCUUUGAGGAACACAAACAAUCCAGGUAUAUAGCCAAGGUGGAUAAUACACAUGUGGCUUCUCCUGCACAACGUCGGUCCGGCUCUCCUCCAUGGCACUCCGGGAUUUUCUCGGGCGUGCCUCCCCUUACCGCUCAAUCUCUUGAUGAGCCUCAGCCCUCACACCAUCAGCAAUCCGACAAACCUUACUUCUACUACCCCACGGAGGUAUACAAAACAUUCUAG
rnacentral:rRNA from 1 species